rnacentral:rRNA from 1 species
UACGUAGGGCGCAAGCGUUAUCCGGAAUUAUUGGGCGUAAAGAGCUCGUAGGCGGUUUGUCGCGUCUGCCGUGAAAGUCCGGGGCUCAACUCCGGAUCUGCGGUGGGUACGGGCAGACUAGAGUGCAGUAGGGGAGACUGGAAUUCCUGGUGUAGCGGUGAAAUGCGCAGAUAUCAGGAGGAACACCGAUGGCGAAGGCAGAUCUCUGGGCCGUAACUGACGCUGAGGAGCGAAAGCAUGGGGAGCGAACAGG